rnacentral:rRNA from 1 species
UACGGGGGGGGGGCAAGCGUUUGUUCGGAAUUACUGGGCGUAAAGGGCUCGUAGGCGGCCAACUAAGUCGGACGUGAAAUCCCCAGGCUCAACCUGGGAACUGCGUCUGAUACUGGAUGGCUUGAAUCCGGGAGAGGGAUGCAGAAUUCCAGGUGUAGCGGUGAAAUGCGUAGAUAUCUGGAGGAAUACCGGUGGCGAAGGCGGCAUCCUGGACCGGCAUUGACGCUGAGGCGCGAAAGCGUGGGUAGCAAACGGGG